GGGGAAUAUUGCGCAAUGGGCGGAAGCCUGACGCAGCGACGCCGCGUGGGGGAUGAAGGCCUUCGGGUUGUAAACCUCUUUUACCACUCACGAAGGCCCCUGGUUUUCUGGGGGUUGACGGUAGGUGGUGAAUAAGGACCGGCUAACUACGUGCCAGCAGCCGCGGUAAUACGUAGGGUCCGAGCGUUGUCCGGAAUUAUUGGGCGUAAAGAGCUCGUAGGCGGCCUGUCGCGUCUGCUGUGAAAGUCCGGGGCUUAACUCCGGGUGUGCAGUGGAUACGGGCAGGCUUGAGGUAGGUAGGGGAGACUGGAAUUCCUGGUGUAGCGGUGAAAUGCGCAGAUAUCAGGAGGAACACCGGUGGCGAAGGCGGGUCUCUGGGCCUUACCUGACGCUGAGGAGCGAAAGCGUGGGGAGCGAAC
rnacentral:rRNA from 1 species